GCACGCACGCACGCACGCACGCACCAGCGCUAGAGCUCCCCCUGGUGCCGUGGUAUCUCACAUGUGGUGUCAAGGCUGCACACAUGGCAAGCCGCCGGGUUCCAGAUGCUAGCAUGAUGCCAAACAGACUUCCCUAGACAGAUGACCCACUAAUAUGUCCUGCAGCUCUGCUUUCCCAGAGCCCCACCCUACUAGGGAAAGAGAGGGGUAUCCUGGGAGUAUGGAUCAACCAGUCAACGCCCAUGUUCAGCGGGGAAGCAAUUACAGAAGCCAGACCUUCCACCUUUUACAACCCACAAUGACCUUGGGUCCAUACUCCCAGAGGGUUAAAGAAUAGGAAAUCUAUCAGGGUAGGGGAUGGGAUGUGGAGAUCUGGUGGUGGGAAUUGUGUGGAGUUGUAUCCCUCUUAUCCUAUGGUUUUGUUAAUGUCUCUUUUUUUAAAUAAAUUAAAAAAAAGAUGUUUUGAAAGA